GACGAACGCUGGCGGCGUGCUUAACACAUGCAAGUCGAACGGAAAGGCCCUGCUUUUGUGGGGUGCUCGAGUGGCGAACGGGUGAGUAACACGUGAGUAACCUGCCCUUGACUUUGGGAUAACUUCAGGAAACUGGGGCUAAUACCGGAUAGGAGCUCCUGCUGCAUGGUGGGGGUUGGAAAGUUUCGGCGGUUGGGGAUGGACUCGCGGCUUAUCAGCUUGUUGGUGGGGUAGUGGCUUACCAAGGCUUUGACGGGUAGCCGGCCUGAGGGGGUGACCGGCCACAUUGGGACUGAGAUACGGCCCAGACUCCUACGGGAGGCAGCAGUGGGGAAUAUUGCACAAUGGGCGGAAGCCUGAUGCAGCAACGCCGCGUGCGGGAUGACGGCCUUCGGGUUGUAAACCGCUUUCGCCUGUGACGAAGCGUGAGUGACGGUAAUGGGUAAAGAAGCACCGGCUAACUACGUGCCAGCAGCCGCGGUGAUACGUAGGGUGCGAGCGUUGUCCGGAUUUAUUGGGCGUAAAGGGCUCGUAGGUGGUUGAUCGCGUCGGAAGUGUAAUCUUGGGGCUUAACCCUGAGCGUGCUUUCGAUACGGGUUGACUUGAGGAAGGUAGGGGAGAAUGGAAUUCCUGGUGGAGCGGUGGAAUGCGCCAGAUAUCAGGAGGAACACCAGUGGCGAAGGCGGUUCUCUGGGCUUUUCCUGACGCUGAGGAGCGAAAGCGUGGGGAGCGAACAGGCUUAGAUACCCUGGUAGUCCACGCUGUAAACGGUGGGUACUAGGUGUGGGGUCCAUUCCACGGGUUCCGUGCCGUAGCUAACGCUUUAAGUACCCCGCCUGGGGAGUACGGCCGCAAGGCUAAAACUCAAAGGAAUUGACGGGGCCCCGCACAAGCGGCGGAGCAUGCGGAUUAAUUCGAUGCAACGCGUAGAACCUUACCUGGGUUUGACAUGGAUCGGGAGCGCUCAGAGAUGGGUGUGCCUCUUUUGGGGUCGGUUCACAGGUGGUGCAUGGCUGUCGUCAGCUCGUGUCGUGAGAUGUUGGGUUAAGUCCCGCAACGAGCGCAACCCUUGUUCACUGUUGCCAGCACGUUAUGGUGGGGACUCAGUGGAGACCGCCGGGGUCAACUCGGAGGAAGGUGGGGAUGACGUCAAGUCAUCAUGCCCCUUAUGUCCAGGGCUUCACGCAUGCUACAAUGGCUGGUACAGAGAGUGGCGAGCCUGUGAGGGUGAGCGAAUCUCGGAAAGCCGGUCUCAGUUCGGAUUGGGGUCUGCAACUCGACCUCAUGAAGUCGGAGUCGCUAGUAAUCGCAGAUCAGCAACGCUGCGGUGAAUACGUUCCCGGG
rnacentral:rRNA from 1 species